GGGCGAGUGGCGGAAUGGCAGACGCACGGGACUUAAAAUCCCGAGGGUGUAAACCCGUGAGAGUUCGAGUCUCUCCUCGCCCACCA
rnacentral:tRNA from 1 species